GGACGAACGCUGGCGGCGUGCUUAACACAUGCAAGUCGAACGGUGAAGGGGUCUGCUUUUGUGGGCCCUGGAUGAGUGGCGAACGGGUGAGUAACACGUGAGUAACCUGCCCCCUUCUUCUGGAUAACCGCAUGAAAGUGUGGCUAAUACGGGAUAUUCUGGGUCUGUCGCAUGAUGGGUCUGGGAAAGAUUGCGCCUUUGGGUGUUUUUGGUGGGGGAUGGGCUCGCGGCCUAUCAGCUUGUUGGUGGGGUGAUGGCCUACCAAGGCGGUGACGGGUAGCCGGCCUGAGAGUGUGGACGGUCACACUGGGACUGAGACACGGCCCAGACUCCUACGGGAGGCAGCAGUGGGGAAUAUUGCACAAUGGGCGCAAGCCUGAUGCAGCGACGCCGCGUGAGGGAUGGAGGCCUUCGGGUUGUAAACCUCUUUCGCCAGUGAAGCAGGCCUGCUCCUUGUGGGUGGGUUGACGGUAGCUGGAUAAGAAGCGCCGGCUAACUACGUG
rnacentral:rRNA from 1 species